rnacentral:pre_miRNA from 10 species
AAAGUUUAUGCUAAGCCUUGUUCCCUAUUCCGACAUGAUAUAUAUAUAUAUCAUGUCGGGAUAGGGAACAAGGCUUAGCAUGAACUUUA